ACUCAAAGGAAUAGACGGGGGCCCGCACAAGCGGUGGAGCAUGUGGUUUAAUUCGACGCAACGCGAAGAACCUUACCGGGGUUUGACAUGCACGGGACAGGUGUGGAAACACACCCUCCCUUCGGGGUCCGUGCACAGGUGCUGCAUGGCUGUCGUCAGCUCGUGUCGUGAGAUGUUGGGUUAAGUCCCGCAACGAGCGCAACCCUUGUCAUUAGUUGCCAGCGAGUAAUGUCGGGCACUCUAGUGAGACUGCCGGUGGUAAGCCGGAGGAAGGUGGGGAUGACGUCAAGUCCUCAUGGCCCUUACAUCCCGGGCUACACACGUGCUACAAUGGGCGAUACAAAGGGUUCCGAUGCCGCGAGGUGGAGGCAAUCCCAAAAAGUCGCUCUCAGUUCGGAUUGCAGUCUGCAACUCGACUGCAUGAAGGUGGAAUCGCUAGUAAUCGCGAAUCAGCAGGUCGCGGUGAAUACGUUCCCGGGCCUUGCACACACCGCCCGU
rnacentral:rRNA from 1 species